rnacentral:rRNA from 1 species
UACGUAGGGUGCAAGCGUUAAUCGGAAUACUGGGCGUAAAGGGCUCGUAGGUGGCCAACUAAGUCAGACGUGAAAUCCCCAGGCUCAACUUGGGAACUGCGUCUGAUACUGGAUGGCUUGAAUUCGGGAGAGGGAUGCAGAAUUCCAGGUGUAGCGGUGAAAUGCGUAGAGAUGUGGAGGAACACCGAUGGCGAAGGCAGCCCCCUGGGUCAAGAUUGACGCUCAUGCACGAAAGCGUGGGGAGCAAACAGG